GUCGAGCGGCAGCACGGGUACUUGUACCUGGUGGCGAGCGGCGGACGGGUGAGUAAUGCCUAGGAAUCUGCCUGGUAGUGGGGGAUAACGCUCGGAAACGGACGCUAAUACCGCAUACGUCCUACGGGAGAAAGCAGGGGACCUUCGGGCCUUGCGCUAUCAGAUGAGCCUAGGUCGGAUUAGCUAGUUGGUGAGGUAAUGGCUCACCAAGGCGACGAUCCGUAACUGGUCUGAGAGGAUGAUCAGUCACACUGGAACUGAGACACGGUCCAGACUCCUACGGGAGGCAGCAGUGGGGAAUAUUGGACAAUGGGCGAAAGCCUGAUCCAGCCAUGCCGCGUGUGUGAAGAAGGUCUUCGGAUUGUAAAGCACUUUAAGUUGGGAGGAAGGGCAGUUACCUAAUACGUAUCUGUUUUGACGUUACCGACAGAAUAAGCACCGGCUAACUCUGUGCCAGCAGCCGCG
rnacentral:rRNA from 1 species